rnacentral:rRNA from 1 species
GACGAACGCUGGCGGCGUGCUUAACACAUGCAAGUCGAACGCUGAAGCUCAGCUUUUGUUGGGUGGAUGAGUGGCGAACGGGUGAGUAACACGUGAGUAACCUGCCUCCUUCUUUGGGAUAACGCCCGGAAACGGGUGCUAAUACUGGAUAUUCACUGGUCUUCGCAUGGGGGUUGGUGGAAAGGGUUUUUCUGGUGGGGGAUGGGCUCGCGGCCUAUCAGCUUGUUGGUGGGGUGAUGGCCUACCAAGGCUUUGACGGGUAGCCGGCCUGAGAGGGUGACCGGUCACAUUGGGACUGAGAUACGGCCCAGACUCCUACGGGAGGCAGCAGUGGGGAAUAUUGCACAAUGGGCGCAAGCCUGAUGCAGCGACGCCGCGUGAGGGAUGGAGGCCUUCGGGUUGUGAACCUCUUUCGCUCAUGGUCAAGCCGCAACAAUGGUUGUGGUGAGGGUAGUGGGUAAAGAAGCGCCAGCUAACUACGUG